rnacentral:tRNA from 1 species
GGAGAGGUCGCAUAGUGGUCUAGUGCGAAUCGGUGCUAACGAUUUAUACCUGAAAGGGUAUCGAGGGUUCGAAUCCCUCCCUCUCCG